rnacentral:rRNA from 1 species
GAUGAACGCUGGCGGCGUGCCUAAUACAUGCAAGUCGAGCGAACGGACGAGAAGCUUGCGUCUUUGAUGUUAGCGGCGGACGGGUGAGUAACACGUGUAUACCCUACCUAUAAGACUGGGAUAAUCUCGGGAAACCGGCGCUAAUACCGGAUAAUCUUUUGAACCGCAUGGUUCAAAAGUGAAAGACGGUCUUGCUGUCACUUAUAGAUGGAUCCGCGCUGCAUUAGCUAGUUGGUAAGGAAACGGCUUACCAAGGCAACGAUGCAUAGCCGAGCUGAGAGGGUGAUCGGCCACACUGGAACUGAGACACGGUCCAGACUCCUACGGGAGGCAGCAGUAGGGAAGCUUGCGAAAUGGGCGAAAGCCUGACGGAGCAACGCCGCGUGAGUGAUGAAGGUCUUCGGAUCGUAAACUCUGUUAUUAGGGAAGAACAUAUGUGUAAGGAACUGUGCACAUCUUGACGGUACCUAAUCAGAAAGCCACGGCUAACUACGUG